CCCCAUGGGUUUUACGACCUGUGGUGGACUUGGACUUGGGCGUCUGCCUCCCCAGGCUCGCCUCAAAUGACUCAGUGGGAUCCUUGUGACCUAUGCCUGACGUAAUAAGUUUCGUCUCGGCUGGACGCUUGGGCCUGCUCAUAACACCCCAUAUUUUUGACAUUGACCUCAAAUCAGGUAGGGCUACCCGCUGAACUUAA
rnacentral:misc_RNA from 1 species